AGGACAGGGCCUGGAAAUCUGUACCUUCCACAGGCACCAAGGACAGGACCUGGAAAGGCUUUGGGUGGGAAGUCUCAGAUCUGCAUUGGAAAGCCAGCUCAAACACUGGGGCGCACCAUAACCCUCUUGAAC